rnacentral:rRNA from 1 species
UACGGAGGAUGCAAGCGUUAUCCGGAAUUAUUGGGCGUAAAGCGUCCGCAGGUGGUUAUCCAAGUCUGCUGUUAAAGCGCGAGGCUUAACUUCGUACAGGCAGUGGAAACUGGGUGACUGGAAUAUGGUAGGGGUAGCGGGAAUUCCCAGUGUAGCGGUGAAAUGCGUAGAUAUUGGGAAGAACACCAGCGGCGAAAGCGCGCUACUGGGCCAUUACUGACACUCAUGGACGAAAGCUAGGGGAGCGAAAGGG